rnacentral:snoRNA from 1 species
AUCUGGUGGUGAGGACAACUGGCACAUUGUUUCUUAAAUCUCUCCCAAUAUUCAUAUAAGUUCUCUCCAUUGAGUUGUCUAAUGCCUGAAAUAUCCUUUCUGAUGGU